rnacentral:lncRNA from 1 species
AUGUGGCGCCUGCCAUUGGCCAGGGGACGCAGGCGGCGCUCUGAUUGGCCGCGCCCGCGCCCGGGGAGCCCCGCGUUCUGCAGCGGCCGAAAGAUUCGAAACUCCAAAAGCUGCGCCGAGCGCCGGGGCGGGGCGGGGGGGACGCCGGGAGGAGCGCGGCAAAUAGCGAGCGAGCGGUUCCGAGCGCCGGCAGCGUGCGGCCUGCGCCCAAUUGCGGCGGCCGGCGCGCGUGUCCCGGGCCGCGCGUGCCCCGCUCCUGGGCCGCGCUGGGCUGCGCCGCCCUCCGGGGCCGGGGCGCUGGCAGGCCGAGUGUCCCCAGGGGCCCUGGUGGCCGGGGGCGGGAUAGGGGCAGAUCCUCUUGAACGCAGGAUGCGCGUCCGUCUGUCCGUCCUUCCGGGCCUGAGACGAGGUCGCCACGGACCCCCAGGACUAGUUGUAACUUUCGCCUUCCUCUCCCGCACUGACGUCACGGCCCCAGGAACAGUCCGACCUGCAGAGGAGGUCCAGUCGGCUUUGUUCCGGCUCCGGUGCACCAAGGCGCAGUGGCCGUGGGCCGCGGGACGGCGCGACCAGGCCGGGCCCCGGAACGCGGAGGAUUGCGCCCCCGCCUCUGCCGUCGGCUUCCCCAGCGAGCGGCGUGAGACGGCAGCGACCACCUGCACACACGCACCGUUCCUCGUUCAGGCGUGUGCUGACUGGGUACCAGUCAUUCUGCUGGGCCUGAGGAUGAGGAGGGACUUUGGGGGGGCCGCAGUCUGCGGGGGGGGGGGCGGGGGAACACGUGAGCUGGGAGGCAUGAUUCACGGUGGUCCAGCGCGACCGAAGGGCGGCGAGGAAGGGUCCUACCCUAACCUGGAGGUAGGGAGGGUGUCGCGAUGGUCAGGGAAACCGCUUAGGAGGACCUGA